rnacentral:rRNA from 1 species
GACGAACGCUGGCGGCGUGCUUAACACAUGCAAGUCGAACGGACAGGCCCUGCUCUUGCUGGUCGCUCGUUUGGCGCACGCGUGUGUAACACGUGAGUAUCCUCCCCUUGUCUUUCGGAUAACUCCAGGAGACUCCGGCUCAUACCGCAGAUGAGCUCCUGCUGCACGUUGGUGGUUGGUAAGUUUCGGCGGUUGGGGCUGGACUCGCGGCUUCUCAGCUUGUUUGGGAGGUAGUGGCUUACCAGGGCUUUGACGGGUAGCCCGCCUGGGAGGGUGACCGGCCACAUUGGGACUGAGGUACGGAGCAGACUCGAACGUGCGGCAGUAGUGGAGAAUAUUGCACAAUGGGGGGGAGCGUGAUACAGCGACGUCGCGAGCGGGAUGACCGCCUUCGGGUGAUAAACAGCUGUCGAAGGUGACGAGGAGGGAGUGACGGUAAUGGGUAAGGAAGCAACGGCUAACUACGUG